rnacentral:ncRNA from 2 species
CAGAUCAUGUGUAACUGGCGUAGCAUGGGAAACCAUGAGGGAGCACAUGAGGUAAUGAUAAGCCGCACGCCUGGGCAAAGUAU